UACGUAGGGCGCAAGCGUUGUCCGGAAUUAUUGGGCGUAAGGAGCUCGUAGGCGGUCUGUUACGUCCGCUGUGAAAACCCAGGGCUUAACCCUGGGCUUGCAGUGGAUACGGGCAGACUAGAGGCAGGUAGGGGAGAAUGGAAUUCCCGGUGUAGCGGUGAAAUGCGCAGAUAUCGGGAGGAACACCGGUGGCGAAGGCGGUGAUCUGGGCCAGUACUGACGCUGAGGAGCGAAAGCGUGGGGAGCGAACAGG
rnacentral:rRNA from 1 species